GAGCCUUAUCUCAGAAAAAGGGAAAAAGAGGCAGUAUGCCUCUUGACCUGUGAAGAAAAAUAAAAAGAGGAAAGAAUGAGGAUUUCUCAUUUCAUCUUUACGAAAAUCUUUGAUUUAAGAAGAUCCGACGGUCCAAUCUUCGAUCCGUCUUCGGAAACGUAAUCCUAACACUCGGAUCUACAUUUCUACCGAUCAUUUUGAGGCUUUGUGUUAUUUGGAGCUUGCAAAGAUUCUCCAAACACCGGGUAUUAUUUGGGUAAAUUUUUGGCUAUACCUGCUGGAUUAUUUGACGGUACUUUUCAUGUUCCGAAACUUAAUGGCAGUAAUUUUACUGAAUGGAAAGAGAACUUGCUCUUUACAUUAAGGUGUUUGGAAUUAGACCUGGCACUCCAGACGGAUGAACCACCCGCUUUAACGGCUACUAGUACUGCACUAGAGAUGGCUAAACAUGAAAGGUGGGAGCGAUCCAAUCGCCUCAGCUUAAUGUUUAUGCAAUCUCACAUUGCCAAAGGCAUUAGGGGUUCCAUCCCUGAAUGUUCUAAGGCUAAAGAUUUUUUGAAAGCCGUUGAAGCACAGUUUGUGAGUUCAACUAAAGCCAUGGCCAGCACUCUAAUGAAGAGACUAUCAAGUUAAGACUUUGAUAGUUCCAAAGGUGUGCGUGAGCACAUCAUGAAAAUGAGGGAUAUAGCAGCUCAAUUAAAGUCCCUUGAGGUUGAGAUUUCCGAAUCCUAGAGGCCGGUCAGUUGUAUUCCUUGUCUUCCUCAAACAGAUUUCCUUCGGUUCAACGGUCUCACACCAGUGGAAUGAUGUUAGGUAGUAAUUAAAUAUGAAACUUCAAGAAUGUUUGUCCACGGUCAAAAAAGUACUAGAGAUGUGUUUGGUUUCAAUUUCUUGUCCCUCUCUUUUACAAAUUUAUCAUUAAAUAUAUAAAAUCUAUAUCUGGUCUAGAAAUUUAAUAGUGAAUUUGCACAUCUCUUAUACGGAAAUAGAGAAAAGAUGUGCAAGAGAAUGUACUCCUCAAAGUAUUAUUGCCAUGAACAACGCCAACCUCAGCUUCAAGUGGUCUUUAGCUGCUAUUAUUUGAUGAUGCAGAUGUCCCCCACUAUUGACAUUCCCACCUUCUGGCUUUCGAGUCAAGCUUCUCUAAGUUGGUUAAGCUGGUAUUUUAGUUAGUUAGUUACAUGGAUUUGUUAUUGAAGAGCUGAUGCUUUCUGUUAUUGUAUUUGUAUAAAGUUUCCUUUCAUUUCUUCCCUGUAUAUGUACAGAGUGUUAAGGAAAUGUUGUUAAAGGAACCGGAAAUGAUGUAAAAGGAACUAGAAAUGUUGAUUAAGGAACCACCUAGCUUGCUAUUCUUUUUACUAUUGAGCAACGGCUACUAGCCGUUACACAGCUCUGCAGAUUAUUUAUGUAAUUCUGUUAUUUUAUUCAUGUAAACAUAGUAUAAAUUGGUGUAUUGUUCCCCACUGUUUUGUAUAACUGAAGUU